CGAACCGAAAAUUGCACACAAUGAAUAAGUUGUUCACUUCUUGAAACUUCUUCCAAGAGAGACCAAGAAAAUCCUAGCAUAAACCUCUGCUAAUGCAUUGAUGUGAGACGUGAUCCACGACACAAGGUUAACUAAAUCGACUAAAUCGAUGAUUUUAGGACAACGAUUAGAUAAUUAUAUGGGACCUAUGCCUUGAAUAAGCUGGGCAUAUAUGGCGCGCUUAGGGGGAAACUAAUAAAGCGAGUUCCG